rnacentral:misc_RNA from 1 species
GAAUUAUCAACAUUGGAUCCAAAAAGAGCUUGAAUGGAAGAAGGGAGUCGGUUUCCAACUGGACAUCUUAAAGCCUCGGCGUUUGAUCAAAUUGAGAGGGAGCCUCCCUUGCUGAAAGAGCUUCAGGCUUCAGCCCCAUCUACAGUAACCAACCCUUCUUGACAUUGCAUUUGAUCACCCAAACAACAUAACAAAAUCUCCCAAUAGCCAUCCACCAUGUCCAAACCUGCAACGAUCUUUAUCAAUUGAAUCAUCCAAACACCAACUGCAGGAGGACGUC